GACGAACGCUGGCGGCGUGCCUAAUACAUGCAAGUUGAGCGCUGAAGCUUGGUACUUGUACCAACUGGAUGAGCAGCGCACGGGUGAGUAACGCGUGGGGAAUCUGCCUUUUAGCGGGGGACAACAUUUGGAAACGAAUGCUAAUACCGCAUAAAAACUUUAAACACAAGUUUUAAGUUUGAAAGAUGCUAUUGCAUCACUCAAAGAUGAUCCCGCGUUGUAUUAGCUAGUUGGUGAGGUAAAGGCUCACCAAGGCGAUGAUACAUAGCCGACCUGAGAGGGUGAGCGGACAAGUUGGGACGGGAACACGACCAAAAAUACUACGGGAGGCAGCAGUAGGGGAUCCUCGGGAAUGGAAGAAAGUCGGAACGAGCAACGCCGCGGGAGAGAAGAAGGUUUUCGGAUCGUAAGACUCUGUUGGUAGAGAAGAACGUAGGGGAGAGUGGAAAGCGCAUAAAGUGACGGUAACUAACCAGAAAGGGACGGCUAACUACGUG
rnacentral:rRNA from 1 species